rfam:Tncultured Sphingobacteria bacterium, whole genome shotgun sequence.
AAAAAAGUAAGUAAGAGCGCUAGGCGGAUGCCUUGGCUUCUAGAGACGAUGAAGGACGUGAUAAGCUGCGAUAAGUUACGGUAAGCUGCUAUAUGCUUUGACCCGUAAAUUUCCGAAUGGGGCAACCCGGCUAUGUGAAGCAUAGUCACCGAGAGGAGUUAACCCGGAGAACUGAAACAUCUAAGUACCCGGAGGAAGAGAAAACAAUAGUGAUUCCGUAAGUAGCGGCGAGCGAACGCGGAUUAGCCCAAACCGAUAAUGUUCCGGCAUUGUCGGGGUUGUAGGACUACAAUAUCGAGAAAAUAUUUGAAGUGGAAUCAACUGGAAAGUUGAACUGUAAAAAGUGAUAGUCUUGUACACGUAAGAAUAUUAAUCGUAGUAGUAUCCUGAGUACCACGGAGCACGUGAAAUUCUGUGGGAAUCUGUCAGAACCAUCUGAUAAGGCUAAAUACUCCUAGAAGACCGAUAGUGGACUAGUACCGUGAGGGAAAGGUGAAAAGUACCCUGAAUAAGGGAGUGAAAUAGUACCUGAAACCUAGCGCUUACAAGCGGUCGGAGCCUACGGGUGACGGCGUGCCUUUUGCAUAAUGAGCCUACGAGUUGCUCCUCACUAGCAAGAUUAAGACUUUAAGGGUCGUAGUCGAAGCGAAAGCGAGUCUGAAUAGGGCGAAUUAGUUAGUGGGGGCAGACGCGAAACUUGGUGAUCUACCCAUGGCCAGGUUGAAGCGAAGGUAACACUUCGUGGAGGACCGAACCAGUUCAUGUUGAAAAAUGUUUGGAUGAGCUGUGGGUGGGGGUGAAAGGCCAAUCAAACUGAGAGAUAGCUCGUACUCCCCGAAAUGCAUUUAGGUGCAGCGUUGUGGUUGAGUUUUAUAGAGGUAGAGCUACUGAUAGGAUGCGGGGGCUUCACCGCCUACCAACUCCUGAUAAACUCCGAAUGCUAUAAAAUAUACACAGCAGUGAGGGCAUGGGUGCUAAGGUCCAUGUCCGAGAGGGAAAGAACCCAGACCAUCAUCUAAGGUCCCUAAAUCUAUGCUAAGUUGAUCAAACGUGGUUUGAUUGCUUUGACAGCUAGGAUGUUAGCUUGGAAGCAGCUAUUCAUUUAAAGAGUGCGUAACAGCUCACUAGUCGAGCGAUCGAGCGUGGAUAAUAAUCGGGCAUAAGCAUAGUACCGAAGAUAUGGAAUUGAAAAAUUGGUAGGGGAGCAUUCUAGUUGCACUGAAGGCGUAUGGCGAUGUAUGCUGGAGCGGCUAGAAAAGCAAAUGUAGGCAUAAGUAACGAUAAAGGGGGCGAGAAACCCCCUCGCCGUAAGACUAAGGUUUCCACAGCUAUGCUAAUCAGCUGUGGGUUAGUCAGGACCUAACGCGUACCCAAACGGGGAAGUGGAUGGACAACAGGUUAAUAUUCCUGUACUACCUUAUACUGCGAUGGAGGGACGGAGAAGUGAAAGCAACACGUACGGACAGAAGUGUACGUCUAAGUGCGUAGGUAUUGGAACUGUAGGCAAAUCCGCAGAUCUAGCUGAAACAUGAGUGAUAACCGCGUCUUCGGACAAGGGAAGUUGCCUAAUCAUGCUCCCAAGAAAAACUUCUAAGCUUCAGGUAUAAGGUACCUGUACCGUAAACCGACACAGGUAGUCGAGGAGAGUAUCCUCAGGCGCUCGAGUGAUUCAUGGCUAAGGAACUCGGCAAAAUGGCCUCGUAACUUCGGGAGAAGAGGCGCCCCACUCCGGUGGGGCCGCAGUGAAAAGGCCCAGGCGACUGUUUAUCAAAAGCACAGGACUAUGCAAAAUCGAAAGAUGAAGUAUAUGGUCUGACACCUGCCCGGUGCUGGAAGGUUAAAAGGAGUAGUUAUCUUCGGAGAAGCUAUGAAUUGAAGCCCCAGUAAACGGCGGCCGUAACUAUAACGGUCCUAAGGUAGCGAAAUUCCUUGUCGGGUAAGUUCCGACCUGCACGAAUGGUGUAACGAUCUGGGCACUGUCUCAGCCAUGAGCUCGGUGAAAUUGUAGUAUCGGUGAAGAUGCCGGUUACCCGCUACGGGACGAAAAGACCCCGUGAACCUUUACUAUAGCUUCGCAUUGGUAUUGGAUAAUUAAUGUGUAGGAUAGGUCGGAGACAUUGAAGCAGGCACGCUAGUGUUUGUGGAGUCGCCCUUGAAAUACGACCCUUUGAUUAUCUGGUACCUAACCCUAACGGGAACAUUGCGUGGUGGGUAGUUUGACUGGGGUGGUCGCCUCCAAAAGAGUAACGGAGGCUUCUAAAGGUUCCCUCAGAACGGUCGGCAAUCGUUCGAAGAGUGUAAUGGCAUAAGGGAGCUUGACUGUGAGACAUACAAGUCGAUCAGGUACGAAAGUAGAGCAUAGUGAUCCGGUGGUUCCGCAUGGAAGGGCCAUCGCUCAAAGGAUAAAAGGUACUCCGGGGAUAACAGGCUGAUCCCUCCCAAGAGCUCACAUCGACGGAGUGGUUUGGCACCUCGAUGUCGGCUCGUCACAUCCUGGGGCUGGAGAAGGUCCCAAGGGUUGGGCUGUUCGCCCAUUAAAGUGGCACGCGAGCUGGGUUCAGAACGUCGUGAGACAGUUCGGUCUCUAUCUGUAGUGGGCGUUGGAAUUUUGAGUGGACCUGACUCUAGUACGAGAGGACCGAGUUGGACGUACCUCUAGUGUAUCAGUUGUGCCGCUAGGUGCAUUGCUGAGUAGCUACGUGCGGUCGAGAUAAGCGCUGAAAGCAUCUAAGCGCGAAACUCACCACAAGAUGAGAAUUCCCUUGAAGGUCGUUGUAGACUACAACGUUGAUAGGAUGCAGAUGUACAGGUAGUAAUACCAAAGUCGAGCAUUACUAAUUACCUGAUAGGCUUUUUUAU